rnacentral:rRNA from 1 species
GAUGAACGCUGGCGGCGUGCCUAAUACAUGCAAGUCGAGCGAACGGACGAGAAGCUUGCUUCUCUGAUGUUAGCGGCGGCCGGGGGAGUAACACGUGGAUAACCUACCUAUAAGACUGGGAUAACUUCGGGAAACCGGAGCUAAUACCGGAUGAUAUUUUGAACCGCAUGGUUCAAAAGUGAAAGACGGUCUUGCUGUCACUUAUAGAUGGAUCCGCGCUGCAUUAGCUAGUUGGUAAGGUAAUGGCUUACCAAGGCAACGAUGCAUAGCCGACCUGAGAGGGUGGUCGGCCACACUAGAACUGAGACACGGUCCAGACUCCUACGGGAGGCAGCAGUAGGGAAUCUUCCGCAAUGGGCGAAAGCCUGACGGAGCAACGCCGCGUGAGUGAUGAUGGUCUUCGGAUCGUAAAGCUCUGUUAUUAGGGAAGAACAUAUGUGUAAGUAACUGUGCACAUCUUGACGGUACCUAAUCAGAAAGCCACGGCUAACUACGUG